UAACAUCAGACAUUUCAGCAAAACAAACAACAAAUAGAAGGUAUAUUCUUAAGCGCGAAUACAAUAAAGCAUUAUAUUAAGGAGAUAGAGAGCAAAACAAACUUGAUAGAAGCUGAUCUGAGUAUGGCGGCGAAGAAAAAAAAAGCAGCGGCAGUGCACAACUGAUGGUUGAAGAUGGUUACGGUGUUAAAACAGGAACAGAUGUACCCAUAAGCAUGGCUUGUGCAUCAAUGGCAGUCAUCAUCAACAUGGCAGAGUUUGGCAGUGAACAAAGUCAACAUAGCAAGGCUGGCUUGAUCUGAUUUAAAUUUUAUUGUAAUUUAUUUUUGCCUUUAUUUUAGUUUGUAAUUUGAUUUGGUUUUAAAACUCUAA